GAUGAACGCUGGCGGCGUGCCUAAUACAUGCAAGUCGAGCGAACGGACGAGAAGCUUGCUUCUCUGAUGUUAGCGGCGGACGGGUGAGUAACACGUGGAUAACCUACCUAUAAGACUGGGAUAACUUCGGGAAACCGGAGCUAAUACCGGAUAAUAUUUUGAACCGCAUGGUUCAAAAGUGAAAGACGGUCUUGCUGUCACUUAUAGAUGGAUCCGCGCUGCAUUAGCUAGUUGGUAAGGUAACGGCUUACCAAGGCAACGAUGCAUAGCCGACCUGAGAGGGUGAUCGGCCACACUGGAACUGAGACACGGUCCAGACUCCUACGGGAGGCAGCAGUAGGGAAUCUUCCGCAAUGGGCGAAAGCCUGACGGAGCAACGCCGCGUGAGUGAUGAAGGUCUUCGGAUCGUAAAACUCUGUUAUUAGGGAAGAACAUAUGUGUAAGUAACUGUGCACAUCUUGACGGUACCUAAUCAGAAAGCCACGGCUAACUACGUGCCAGCAGCCGCGGUAAUACGUAGGUGGCAAGCGUUAUCCGGAAUUAUUGGGCGUAAAGCGCGCGUAGGCGGUUUUUUAAGUCUGAUGUGAAAGCCCACGGCUCAACCGUGGAGGGUCAUUGGAAACUGGAAAACUUGAGUGCAGAAGAGGAAAGUGGAAUUCCAUGUGUAGCGGUGAAAUGCGCAGAGAUAUGGAGGAACACCAGUGGCGAAGGCGACUUUCUGGUCUGUAACUGACGCUGAUGUGCGAAAGCGUGGGGAUCAAACAGGAUUAGAUACCCUGGUAGUCCACGCCGUAAACGAUGAGUGCUAAGUGUUAGGGGGUUUCCGCCCCUUAGUGCUGCAGCUAACGCAUUAAGCACUCCGCCUGGGGAGUACGACCGCAAGGUUGAAACUCAAAGGAAUUGACGGGGACCCGCACAAGCGGUGGAGCAUGUGGUUUAAUUCGAAGCAACGCGGAGAACCUUACCAAAUCUUGACAUCCUUUGACAACUCUAGAGAUAGAGCUUUCCCCUUCGGGGGACAAAGUGACAGGUGGUGCAUGGUUGUCGUCAGCUCGUGUCGUGAGAUGUUGGGUUAAGUCCCGCAACGAGCGCAACCCUUAAGCUUAGUUGCCAUCAUUAAGUUGGGCACUCUAAGUUGACUGCCGGUGACAAACCGGAGGAAGGUGGGGAUGACGUCAAAUCAUCAUGCCCCUUAUGAUUUGGGCUACACACGUGCUACAAUGGACAAUACAAAGGGCAGCGAAACCGCGAGGUCAAGCAAAUCCCAUAAAGUUGUUCUCAGUUCGGAUUGUAGUCUGCAACUCGACUACAUGAAGCUGGAAUCGCUAGUAAUCGUAGAUCAGCAUGCUACGGUGAAUACGUUCCCGGGUCU
rnacentral:rRNA from 1 species